rnacentral:rRNA from 1 species
UCGCCCGCCGCGCGCGGCGGGCGGGGCGGGGGCACGGGGGGCCUACGGGAGGCAGCAGUGAGGAAUCUUCCACAAUGGGCGAAAGCCUGAUGGAGCAACGCCGCGUGCAGGAUGAAGGCCUUCGGGUCGUAAACUGCUUUUAUUAGUGAGGAAUAUGACGGUAACUAAGAAAAGUGCAC